rnacentral:rRNA from 1 species
AUGUGCAUUGCCAAGUCGAAAGGAAGUCUUGGUUUUAGGGAUUUGGAGACGUUCAAUGAUGCGAUGCUAGCCAAACAAGCAUAGAGGCUCCUUGAGAACCCUAAUAUCUUGUGUGCUAGAGUGCUUAAGGGUAGAUAUUACCCCAGUGAAGAGUUCCUCAUGGUGGAGUGUCCAAAGGGUGCAUCCAAAACAUGGCAGGCUAUAAUAAAAGGAAGAAAGAUGCUCAAGUGGAUAUGGAACACCGACCGAUGUUUGGAAUGGUCAAUGGAUCGAAGGAAAAAUCUCGAUGUAGCCAAUGGGCGCCCUUGCUGCAAACUCGGUACAACUGGUCUCAGACUUAAUUAA